rnacentral:rRNA from 1 species
GUUACGCGGAAGUACUGGGCGUAAAGCGUGCGUAGGUGGUUCGUUAAGUCUGAUGUGAAAGCCCUGGGCUCAACCUGGGAAUGGCAUUGGAUACUGGCGAUCUGGAGUGCGGUAGAGGGUAGCGGAAUUCCCGGUGUAGCAGUGAAAUGAGUAGAUAUCGGGAGGAACAUCCGUGGCGAAGGCGGCUACCUGGACCAGCACUGACACUGAGGCACGAAAGCGUGGGGAGCAAACAGG